rnacentral:rRNA from 1 species
GACGAACGCUGGCGGCGUGCUUAACACAUGCAAGUCGAACGGAAAGGCCCUGCUUUUGUGGGGUGCUCGAGUGGCGAACGGGUGAGUAACACGUGAGUAACCUGCCCUUGACUUUGGGAUAACUUCAGGAAACUGGGGCUAAUACCGGAUAGGAGCUCCUGCUGCAUGGUGGGGGUUGGAAAGGUUCGGCGGUUGGGGAUGGAUUCGCGGCUUAUCAGCUUGUUGGUGGGGUAGUGGCUUACCAAGGGUUUGACGGGUAGCCGGCCUGAGGGGGUGACCGGCCACAUUGGGACUGCGCUACGGCCCAGACUCCUACGGGAGGCAGCAGUGGGGAAUAUUGCACAAUGGGCGGAAGCCUGAUGCAGCAACGCCGCGUGCGGGAUGACGGCCUUCGGGUUGUAAACCGCUUUCGCCUGUGACGAAGCGUGAGUGACGGUAAUGGGUAAAGAAGCACCGGCUAACUACGUG